rnacentral:lncRNA from 1 species
UCUCUGUCUCUGCAGAAAGACACGCAACAGGAAAGUUUCUUAAAAUACCCGGGCUCUGCAGCAUCUGAGAGCGAGGACGUCAUGAGUUCGGUGCUCGGAGCCAGAGCGAGCUGGAGUUUGGAAACAGAAGCUACAGGUGAAGAACAACCUGAUACUGAACAUUAAUGAACUGCAAAGAAUAAAGGUUUGAUAUUGUUCCUCCAGAUGAGGCGCAGGCAGGAGCAGUGCCUCUCCUCCACUUGUCUCCCCCGUCUGUCCCGACACAGACAGAAGAGGAGCAGCUGUCCCCUGGUUUAGACCUCGAUACAGACCUGGGCCCGGUCCUGGUUCUUCCCCGGAGCAGCCCAGUGAUCAGCAGGAGGAUCAGACCUGUCGGACUCUCACCAACCAGUUCCAGCGGGGGCAGUGCAGAGCAGAGUGCAGGGCUCACAGUGAGGAGCUCAGAGGAUCCAGCAGAAGUCCACAUCGAACCAGAGUACAAGAGAAGUCCCAGUGUGUCUCCAAAGAUCGCAGAAGAUGUUUUUAAGUCCACCUGUGAGCUGGAACAGGAGAACGUUCACUUCAUCCUCGUGGACCUGGUGCUGGAGGUUCUGGAAGGAGCCAAGUGGAGACUGAGCUCAGAGGAGUGGACUUCAGAGAGGAGUUUUGACCAAUGCGAUGAAGAAGAGCAAACCCCUGGGCCAGAGCAGAGAGGAUUCUGGGAAACGGAGUCCGAAAUGAAGACUCUCUCCGUCCUCUCCACGGACAGCGUCUUCGAGGGUAAAUAUGGAAGUCAUAAACAACGAUUUGUAAUAGAUACAGACG